rnacentral:rRNA from 1 species
CACAAGCGGUGGAUGAUGUGGAUUAAUUCGAUGCAACGUAGAAAACCUUACCUACCUUGACAUGUCCGGAAUCCCGAAGAGAUUUGGGAGUGCUCGCAAGAGAACCGGAACACAGGUGCUGCAUGGCUGUCGUCAGCUCGUGUCGUGAGAUGUUGGGUUAAGUCCCGCAACGAGCGCAACCCUUGUCAUUAGUUGCCAUCAUUUGGUUGGGCACCCUAAUGAGACUGCCGGUGACAAACCGGAGGAAGGUGGGGAUGACGUCAAGUCCUCAUGGCCCUUAUGGGUAGGGCUUCACACGUCAUACAAUGGUCGGUACAGAGGGUUGCCAACCCGCGAGGUGGAGCCAAUCCCACAAAGCCGAUCGUAGUCCGGAUUGCAGUCUGCAACUCGACUGCAUGAAGUCGGAAUCGCUAGUAAUCGCGGAUCAGCAUGUCGCGGUGAAUACGUUCCCGGGCCUU